GUCGAGGGGCAACGGGGAUGUUAGCUUGCUAAUAUCUGCCGGCGACCUGCGCACGGGUGAGUAACGCGUAUGCGACCUGCCCGUCACAGGGGGAUAAUCCGGAGAAAUCCGGUCUAAUACCGCAUAAUAUCGUGAAUCUGCAUGGAUUUGCGAUUAAAGGAGCGAUCCGGUGACGGAUGGGCAUGCGUGACAUUAGCUAGUCGGCGGGGUAACGGCCCACCGAGGCGACGAUGUCUAGGGGUUCUGAGAGGAAGGUCCCCCACACUGGUACUGAGACACGGACCAGACUCCUACGGGAGGCAGCAGUGAGGAAUAUUGGUCAAUGGGCUUACGCCUGAACCAGCCAAGUCGCGUGAGGGAAGACUGCCCUAUGGGUUGUAAACCUCUUUUGUCAGGGAGCAACGCCGGCUACGUGUAGCCGGACUGAGAGUACCUGAAGAAAAAGCAUCGGCUAACUCCGUGCCAGCAGCCGCGGUAAUACGGAGGAUGCGAGCGUUAUCCGGAUUUAUUGGGUUUAAAGGGUGCGUAGGCUGUGAGGUAAGUCAGCGGUGAAAUGCCCCCGCUCAACAGGGUGAAGUGCCAUUGAUACUGCCUUGCUGGAAUG
rnacentral:rRNA from 1 species